AAACUUUCAACAACGGAUCUCUUGGUUCUGGCAUCGAUGAAGAACGCAGCGAAAUGCGAUAAGUAAUGUGAAUUGCAGAAUUCAGUGAAUCAUCGAAUCUUUGAACGCACAUUGCACCCUCUGGUAUUCCGGAGGGUAUGCCUGUUCGAGCGUCAUUA
rnacentral:rRNA from 1 species